rnacentral:ncRNA from 1 species
UACCGAAAAGGGUAAACCGUCCGAAAGGACGGGGCGCAAAGCCCAGCCUAAGUCCAGCACAUAAGAUAUGUGCUGGAUAUGGUAGAAGGGUUGCCGAA